UACGAAGGGGGGCUAGCGUUGUUCGGAAUUACUGGGCGUAAAGGGCGCGUAGGCUGUGCUGUAAGUCAGGCGUGAAAGCCCCCGGGCUCAACCUGGGAAUUGCGCUUGAUACUGCGGCGCUGGAAGGUGGGAGAGGAUGGCGGAAUUCCCAGUGUAGAGGUGAAAUUCGUAGAUAAUUGGGAAGAACACCGGUGGCGAAGGCGGCGAACCUGG
rnacentral:rRNA from 1 species